AGGCGAGCGGCCGGCUGCCCGUUCACACCGCCAAAUGAUUUCUGUGUUUUUGUGUCCAAAUGUAAUUGAAAACCAACGGGGAACGCGCGUUCACCGGCGGCGCGUCGGACGCGUUUUUGCGGCGCGUCGGGCCGUUCUGGCGUCGGUGACGUGUUGCGUUUUUGCGGCCGACGCCGAAGUUGGGAAAUCUGAACUUUUGAAGCGGCAUUUUU